CAGCCAAUCAGAGUGUCGGAGUGUCUGUCCGGAAGUCCCCUCCAUUCUGCAGCCCAUAUUAGUUGUAAAAUGUUGGCUACUGACGGCUCUUUGGACGUGUUUUACCGUGUUGGAUUAAAGUGUGUAACCACGGGAACGACGCAGGGUAACUACGGGAGGGAACACGUGCAGGUAGCGGGGACCCCCGAGGCUUUCUGACGGCUGAAGCUACACCGAGACACCGACACAAGUGACCGAAACUCCGCCGGGGACACCUGCCCGCUGCCGGGAUACACCUGCCAGCCCGAGCGCUCUACAUACGGGGACAUGCGCACUGACUAACUACCAGCUGACCGGUGUCUCUGCUGCUUUACACGAAGAAAGCUCCCAAUAAAAAGGAUUAUAAUGGAUUUAUAAGGACACCGUUCUGUUGUUUUGGGACCAUGUCUGUGAACGAGCUGUACACAAAGUUCACCCGGGUGUGGAUCCCCGACCCCGAGGAUGUGUGGAAGGCUGCAGAGAUCGUCAAAGAUUAUAAAGAAGGAGAGCCGGUGCUUCACCUCCAACUGGAGGAUGAAACGCCUCUGGAGUACCCUGUGGGUCCGAAGUCGAACCCUCUUCCUUUCCUGCGUAACCCAGACAUUCUGGUGGGAGAAAACGACCUCACUGCUCUCAGUUACCUUCAUGAACCGGCGGUGCUGCACAACCUGAAGGUCCGCUUCCUGGAGCCCAACCACAUCUACACCUACUGCGGGAUUGUGCUGGUGGCCAUCAACCCGUAUGACCAGCUGGAUAUUUAUGGCGAGGAGGUGAUCCGGGCGUACAGCGGGCAGAACAUGGGCGACAUGGACCCGCACAUCUUCGCUGUGGCCGAGGAGGCAUACAAGCAGAUGGCCAGGGACGAGAGGAAUCAGUCGAUCAUCGUGAGUGGAGAAUCCGGCGCAGGAAAGACGGUUUCUGCAAAGUACGCUAUGCGUUUCUUUGCCACGGUGGGCGGCUCGGCUAACGACACUAACGUGGAGGAGAAAGUGCUCGCCUCCAGUCCCAUCAUGGAGGCUAUUGGAAACGCUAAAACCACACGGAACGACAACAGCAGUCGCUUUGGGAAGUACAUUCAGAUCGGCUUCAGCCGACAUUACAACAUCAUCGGAGCCAACAUGAGGACGUACCUGCUGGAGAAGUCUCGCGUCGUUUUCCAGGCUGAAGACGAGAGGAACUAUCACAUCUUCUACCAGCUGUGUGCCUCGGCCAGUUUACCUGAGUUCAAAGACCUCGGCCUCACCAGCGCAGAAGACUUCACGUUCACGUCUCUGGGACAGAACAUCUUCAUCGAGGGAGUGGACGAUGCUGAAGACUUUGAGAAGACCAGAGAGGCCUUCACGCUACUCGGGAUAAAGGACGUGAGUCAGAGCAGCAUCUUUAAAGUGGUGGCCUCCAUUCUCCAUCUGGGAAACAUCGAGAUCUGCUCGGAGCGAGACGGAGAGUCCUGUCACGUCUCGAGAGACGACGUCCACCUGCAGCACUUCUGCCGGCUGCUGGGCGUGGAUCUGCCGCAGAUGGAGCACUGGCUCUGCCACAGGAAGCUGGUGACGGCGUCGGAGACGUACGUGAAGAACAUGUCCAGCCAACAGGCGGCCAACGCCCGCGAUGCGCUCGCCAAACACAUCUACGCUCGCAUGUUUGACUGGAUCGUGGAGCACAUCAACAAUAUGCUGCAGACCUCGUCUAAACAGCACUCCUUCAUCGGAGUCCUCGACAUCUACGGCUUUGAGACGUUCGAGAUCAACAGUUUUGAGCAGUUCUGCAUCAACUACGCCAACGAGAAACUUCAGCAGCAGUUUAACUCUCAUGUGUUUAAGCUGGAGCAGGCGGAGUACAUAAAGGAGCAGAUCCCCUGGACUCUGAUCGAUUUCUACGACAACCAGCCGUGCAUCGACCUGAUCGAGGCUCGUCUCGGCAUCCUGGACCUGCUGGACGAAGAGUGUAAAGUGCCGAAGGGGACGGAUCAGAACUGGGCCCAGAAGCUCUACAAGCAGAACUCGAGCAGCGCUCACUUCCAGAAACCUCGCAUGUCCAACACCUCCUUCAUCAUCAUACACUUCGCUGAUAAGGUGGAGUAUCAGUGUGAAGGCUUCCUGGAGAAGAACAGAGACACCGUGUACGAGGAGCAGAUCAACAUCCUGAAGGCCAGCCAGUUUCAGCUGGUAGCAGAUCUGUUCCAUGAGAAGAGCGACACCGCCCCCCCAGCAAAGUCCUCCAGAGUCAACGUCCGAUCAGCGAAGCCGACUCCCAAAGCUCCAAACAAGGAGCACCGCAAGACCGUGGGACACCAGUUCCGCAGCUCUCUGCAGCUCCUGAUGGAGACUCUGAAUGCAACGACUCCUCACUACGUCCGCUGCAUCAAACCCAACGACAACAAGGAGGCUUUCUCGUUUGACUCGCGGCGAGCGGUGCAGCAGCUGCGAGCCUGCGGCGUCCUGGAGACGAUCCGGAUCAGCGCCGCCGGAUACCCGUCCAGGUGGACGUACCCAGACUUCUUCAACAGGUACCGAGUCCUGGUGAAGAAGUCAGACAUGACGACAGCCGAUAAGAAGCUGGUGUGUAGGAACCUGCUGGAGACGCUCAUCAAGGAGGCGGACAUGUUCCAGUUCGGUAAGACCAAGAUCUUCUUCCGGGCGGGCCAGGUGGCGUACCUGGAGAAGCUGCGGGCGGACCGCUUCCGCUCGGCCUGCAUCCAGAUCCAGAAGACGGUCCGCGGCUGGCUGGCCAGGGUUCGAUACCGCAAGAUCCGAAAAUCUGCCGUCACUCUGCAGAGAUACGGCCGCGGAUUCCUCGCCCGCAGACUGGCUGAGUUCCUGCGUCAGAGCCGCGCGGCGCUCGUCUGUCAGAAGCAGUACCGCAUGGUGAGAGACAGACGGGUCUAUCUGAGGGUGAGACGGGCAGUCGUCACCAUCCAGGCCUUCACCAGAGGGAUGUUCACCCGCAGGAUCUACCGGGAGUUCCUGCUGCACCACAAAGCGAUGAUCAUCCAGCGGAGCGUGCGCGGCUGGCUGCAGCGCAGGAAGUUCAGGCGGGCACGCGACGCCGCCAUCACCAUCCAGUGUGGGUUCAGGCGCGUGCGAGCCAAGCGGGAGCUGAAGCAGCUGAAGAUCGAAGCUCGCUCCGCCGAACAUCUGAAGAAACUCAACAGCGGCAUGGAGAACAAGAUCGUCCAGCUGCAGAGGAAGAUGGACGACCAGUCCCAGGAGUUCCGGGCUCAGAGGGAUCAGCUGGCGGUGGUCAACGCCUCUCUGGGCACGGAGGUGAAGCUGCUGCAGAAACAGCUGGAGCAGGUCCGUCAGCAGGGAGGAGCCAAUCAGAUCGCCUCGCUGCAGGAAGAGCUGGCGAAGCUGGGAGAAGAUCUGCAGGGCGCCACUGCCGACAGGAAGAGACUGGAGGAGGAGCACGGCGCCGAGAAGACGGGGCUGCAACUGAGGGUGGAGGAGUUGGAGAGAGAGAACUCUCUGCUGAAGAGUGAAAAAGAAGAGAUGAACCAGAAGAUCCUGCAGCUCACCAACAUUACGCAAGUAGACGGCGGCGAUGCGUCUCAGCGUGAGGCGUCUCUGCAGACGGAGCUGGACGGAGAGCGCCAGCGCUACCAGAACCUGCUGAAAGAGUUCUCCAGACUGGAGCAGAGAUACGAGAACCUGAAGGAGGAAAUGUUGCUGAGCAAGUUCCAGCCGGGCCACCGGAGGAACCCGUCCAAUCAGAGCAGCCUGGAGUCUGACUCCAACUACACGUCCAUCUCCAUGUCCGAGGUCGGAGACACCGAAGACGCCAUCCAGCAGCUGGAGGAUCUGGGCAUGGAGAAGGCAGCGAUGGACAUCAGUCUGUUCAUGAAGCUGCAGAAGAGAGUGAGAGAGCUGGAGAUGGAGAGGAAGAGGCUGCAGGCCAACGUGGACAAGAUGGAGGAGCUCGCCAAACGCACUGACACACUGCAGAGUUCUGAGCCGAGGAGUCCCACCUCGGAGCAGGAGAACGCUGAUCUGGCCUACAACAACCUCAAGAGGGAGGAGCUGGAGUCAGAGAACAAGAAACUGAAGAACGACCUCAACGAUCUGAGGAAAAGCAUCGCUGAGCGAGCGUCCCGGAGCGAUUCGUCCAACGAGCUGCAGGACAGCUACAACCUGCUGCUGAGUCAGCUGAAAUCAGCCAAUGAGGAGCUGGACGCUCGCAAAGAGGAAGUCCUGAUUCUGAGGACUCAGAUCGUCAGCGCCGCCCAGCUCCAGGAGAACAACCAGCGCAUCCAGGAGGAGAAUAAAGUCCCUGAACUCAACAACAGCAACGAGCCGCUGGACAGAGACGAGGCUCUGAAGGCCUAUCACGGACUCUGUGAGUCCAAAAAGCUGCUGGAGGCCCAGCUGCAGACCCAGCUGCGGCAGCAUAAAGACGAGCUGGACGCCCUCCACACUCAGAUCGAGCUGCAGAGAGACGACAUCGAGAAGAAGACGGAGCUGCUCAACUUCACGGCAUCGCUGUCCCCCGAGGCCCAGGUGGAGUUCAGCAUCGGCCAGGAGAUCACACGCCUCACCAACGACAACCUGGACCUAAAGGAGAUGGUGGAGAAGCUGGAGAAGAACGAGAGGAAGCUGAAGAAGCAGCUGAGGAUCUACAUGAAGAAGGUCCAGGAGUUUGAAGCAUCUCAGGCUGCAGUUGAGUCCAGCAGGUCUCGUCCUGAGUUGACCCGGCAGGUGACGGUCCAGAGGAAGGAGAAGGACUUUGAGGGGAUGCUGGAGUACCACAAGGAGGACGAGGCCCUGCUGAUCAAAACCCUGGUCACAGACGUCCAGCCCAGCAUGGUGUCGGCCACCGUUCCCUGUCUGCCGGCUUAUAUUCUCUUCAUGUGCAUCCGCCACGCCGACUACAUCAACGACGACAGCAAGGUGGAGUCUUUGCUCACCGCCACCAUCAACGCCGUCAAGAAAGUCCUCAAGAAAAACAAUGAAGACUUUGAGAUGACGUCCUUCUGGCUGGCCAACACCAGCCGGCUGCUGCACUGUCUGAAGCAGUACAGUGGAGACGAGGCGUUCAUGACGCAGAACACGAGCAAACAGAACGAACACUGUCUGAAGAACUUCGACCUGGCGGAGUACCGGCAGGUGCUGAGCGACCUCUCCAUCCAGAUCUACCAGCAGCUCAUCAAAGUGGCCGAAGCAACCAUCCAGCCCAUGAUCGUGUCGGCCAUGUUGGAGAGCGAGAGCAUCCCCAGCCUGGCGGGGGUGAAGCCGAUGGGCUACCGACACCGUUCGUCCAGCAUGGACACGGACGCCGGCGGCCCCGCCAGCUACACGCUGCAGGCGCUGAUCCGCCAGCUGGGCCAGUUCCACGCCGUGAUGCAAGAGCACGGCCUGGACCCCGAGAUCACGGGUCAGGUGGUCCGCCAGCUGUUCCACUGCAUCAACGCCGUCACGCUCAACAACCUGCUGCUGCGCAAAGACGUGUGCUCCUGGAGCACCGGCAUGCAGCUACGGUACAACACGAGUCAGAUGGAGGAGUGGCUGCGAGCCAACAACUUGUACCAGAGCAAAGCAGCGGCGACGCUGGAGCCCGUCAUCCAGGCAGCCCAGCUGCUGCAGGUCAAGAAGAAGACAACGCAGGACGCCGAGGCCAUCUGCUCGCUGUGCACAGCGCUCAGCACGCAGCAGAUUGUGAAGAUCCUGAACCUUUACACUCCUCUGAACGAGUUUGAAGAAAGAGUCACCGUGUCCUUCAUCAGAAACAUCCAGAACCGUCCUCAGCAGAGAAGCGAUCCUCAGCAGCUCCUGAUGGACACCAAGCACACGUUCCCGGUCCUGUUCCCGUACACGCCGUCGGCCCUGAGCCUGGAGACGCUGCACAUCCCCGCCUCGCUCUGCCUCGACUUCCUCAACAGAGUCUGAUGUCUCCGAGAGGAACCGCCGGAGACGGAGACGGCGACCACGCACACAGCUGGACAGGAAACUGAGCUUUAAAACAGCAGACGGACACACACUUCUACUACAAACCUGCUUCUUCUGUUACGAACUGUUUCUCCGGAUUGUGACACUAACAGGAAGUGCAGACAGACGUAAGUGAGAGAAGGAACAGGAAAGUGUCCCACAGCAGGAAGAAGGUCAGUGAGAAGUUUCAGAAAGCUCAGGAAGGAUGCAGAGAAAAGAGCCUCCAUAGUUUCAUGAUCCACAAAUCGGAACCAGAUUCACAAAAACCUGCACGAUGAGGUGGGAGGUUUCUGUCCACAAACACCACAGGACUCCGAAACACAUAAACUAACCAAUAAUCCAUUUAAUUUACUUUUGAGCCGCUUGCUGUUCAUAUACAGUGCUAAAUAAUGGUGAAUACA